GGAUGUGAGGGUGAUCUGGCUGCAACAUCUCUCACCCCAUUGAUCACCAGGGUUGAUUCUGCUGAUCUGGGUGGUUAGGUAGGUGUCCCCUUCCACCCUCACCACUCGAUGUGCAUCCCUCCCAAAGCUAUGUGCUUGGACAAAGAGGACAAUCAUCCCAACAGAGGAGGACUAAUCUUCAGUCAAGGGUAUACGAGUAGCUGCACUCCCCUGUUAGAACUUCCAAACAAGCUGUCAAGACACACUGUAUUAAAGGAUGCAAGAGCAAAGAUUCUUCUCAGGUCCCGUGACAUACUGCUACCUUACCAA
ensembl:misc_RNA 7SK 7SK RNA